rnacentral:antisense_RNA from 1 species
GUAGGAGUGAGCCUGCUCGCGAUCGCGGUGAGUCAGUCUCCAUCCAUGUUGCCUGACACGGUCUCAUCGCGAGCAGGCUCACUCCUAC